rnacentral:rRNA from 1 species
AUUGAACGCUGGCGGCAUGCCUUACACAUGCAAGUCGAACGGCAGCGCGGACUUCUUUCUGGCGGCGCGUGGCGAACGGGUGAGUAAUACAUCGGAACGUACCCUGUCUUUGGGGCUAACUUGUCUUCAGAUUAGCUAAUACCACAUACGACCAUAUGUUGAAAGUGGGGGACCGGUAGUGGCCUCCUGCAUUGCUGUCGGCCGAUGUCUGAUUAGCUAGUUGGUGGGGUAAAGGCCUACCAAGGCGACGAUCAGUAGCUGGUCUGAGAGGACGAUCAGCCACACUGGAACUGAGACACGGCCCAGACUCCUACGGGAGGCAGCAGUGGGGAAUUUUGGACAAUGGGGGAAAGCCUGAUCCAGCAAUGCCGCGUGAGUGAUGAAGGCCUUCGGGUUGUAAAGCACUGUUGUCAGGAAAGAAAUAGCGCGGGUGAAUACAUGGAGGGGAUGACGGUACCGGAAGAAAAAGCACCGGCUAACUACGUG